rnacentral:miRNA from 1 species
UUGUUCUCUCUCCCCUACCACCUACCUCUUCCUGCCCUGCUGCAGGCAAGGAGAGGGUGGAGGGAGGGCCAGCAAG